GAAACCCUGCCCCUAUAUCCGGUUGGUGUAGGCGGUGUUGGAGAGCCGAAGGGUUAACAACCAAUCAGAGGACAGCGAUGGUUCAAGAACUACCCAAUCAGCAGGAGGAGGGGCGGGCCCCCGAGGAAAACUCGUGACUCGGGCCGCGGCGGCUGUGAGAAUGGUGAGCCCAGCAAAGCCGGACGGAGGCGGAAGUGGCUUGGCUUAAAGCAGCCUUCCCUGCCUGGCCUUUGGGGCUGUCCUGCCCGUGGACUGCCACCUCUGCGGAGACUGAAGUGCCAGAGCCGGAGAUUUUAUUUAUUUAUUCAUGAGAGAGAGAGGCAGAGCGAGAAGCAGGCUCCCAAGGAGCAGGGAGCCCGAUGCGGGACUCGAUCCCAGGACCCUGAGAUCAUGACCUGAGCCGAAGGCAGACGCUUAACCAUCUGAGCCACUCAGGCGCCCUCCACUUUUUGACUAUUAUGUAUGAACAUUCAUGUACAAGUUUUUUAUGCAUGUGUUUUCAUUUCUCUUGAGUAUAUAAACCUAAAAUGAAAUUAAUGGGGAAUAUACCCCAUAUAUAUUACUAGGUCAUAAGGUAACUCCAUGUUUAAUUACUUGAGAAAUUGCCAUACUUUUUUCUAAAGCUGUUACACCAUUUUAUAUUCCCACCAACAUUGUAUAAGGUUUCCAUUUUUUUUUUUUUAAGAUCUUAUUUAUUUAUUUGACAGAGAGAGACACAGUGAGAGAGGGAACACAAGCAGGGGGAGUGGGAGAGGGAGAAGCAGGCUUCCCGCGGAGCAGGGAGCCCAAUGCGGGGCUCGAUCCCAGGACCCUGGGAUCAUGACCUGAGCCGAAGGCAGACGCUCAACAACUGAGCCACCCAGGCGCCCCUAAGUUUUCCAUUUUUUUCCCACAUCCUCACCAACACUUAUUUUUAUUGUAGUGAUUCUAGUGGGUAUGAAGAAGCAUCUCAUGGUUUUGAUUUGCAUUUCAUUGGUGGCUAAUGAUACUGAACAACAUCUUGUCAUGGGCCUAUUUGCCAUCUGUGCAUCUUAUUUGAGGAAAUGUCUAUUCAGAUCCUUUGCCCAUCUUUUAAUUUUUCUUUCUUUCUUUUUUGUUGCUUUUUAUUGUUGAGUUGUAAGAGUUCUUUAUACAUUCUAAAUACAAGUUCCUUGUCAGAUAUAUGCUUUCCAAAUAUCUUCUCAAUUGUGUCUUUUCACAUUCUUGAUGGUGUCCUUUCAGGCACACUUGUUUUUUUGUUUGUUUGUUUGUUUUUAAAGAUUUUAUUUAUUUAUUUGAGAGAAAGAGUGAGAGAGAGAAAGAGCACAAGAGGGGGGAGCAGGAGAGGGAGAAGCAGGCUCCCUGCCGAGCAGGGAGCCCGAUGCGGGACUCGAUCCAGGGACUCCAGGAUCAUGACCUGAGCCGAAGGCAGUUGCUUAACCAACUGAACCACCCAGGCGCCCGAGGCACACUUGUUUUUAAAUUUGAUGAUGGUUAUUUGUGUUUUUGGAGUAAUAUCUAAGAAACCAUUGCCUAUCCAAAGUCAUAAAGACACCUAUGUGAGAAUGAUACUUUUUUUAAAUUCAAAAUCUGGAAUAAAAAUGGGGUCACUGAAAAUUUAAACACAUUAUAAAGUUCAAAAGAAGAUAUACAGGGGCACCUAGGUGGCUCAGUUGGUUAAGUGUCUGCCUUCAGCUCAGGUCAUGAUCCCAGGGUCCUAGGAUCGAGUCCUGCAUCAGGCUCCUUGCUCAGCGGGGAGUCUGCUUCUCCCUCUCCCUCUGCCUGCCACUCCCUCUGCCUGCCACUCCCCCUGCUUGUGCUCUCUCUGUCAAAUAAAUAAAUAAAAUCUUUUUUUAAAAAAGAAGACAUACAAACAAUUGUAUGUUAAUAACUUUGAAAGUUUAAAUGAAAAAUUCCUAGAAAAUGUAACUUAAAAAUAACACAAGGGGAAAUAGAAUUAAAUAUUCCUGUAACUAGUAAAACCAGUUUAAUAAACCAAAAUCCUUCCCACAAAGAAAACUCCA